GCCGCGACCUGGUCGACGCCGACGACCCGGCGCUCUCGGCGGCGGCGAGCGCGGUGUUCGACACCUUCGCCGUGCUG
rnacentral:tRNA from 1 species